rnacentral:rRNA from 1 species
UACGAAGGGGGCGAGCGUUGUUCGGAAUUACUGGGCGUAAAGGGCGCGUAGGCGGUCCUUCAAGUCAGGCGUGAAAGCCCCCGGCUCAACCGGGGAGGGUCGUCGGGGACUGGGGCGCUUGAGGGCGGUAGGGGCCGGUGGAAUUCCCGGUGUAGUGGUGAAAUGCGUAGAGAUCGGGAGGAACACCAGUAGCGAAGGCGGCCGGCUGGGCCGACCCUGACGCUGAGGCGCGAAGGCGUGGGGAGCGAACGGG